CAAUUAUUCCUCUGAAAUCAUGAUCGCAAACGGGAGCCGAGAUGGUGUCAAGCCUUAGGACUGGGGCAGGUGGUCUCAAAACACACCGUCUCCCGUGAAAAGGUUGCAGUAAUUUAUCAGUAACGUGAAAAAUCUGCAUCAGUCAGGGAUAUUGUGGAUAUCUGUCUACACCGCUGAGAUGACAGAGGUGGAGCCGGUGUUGGAUUUUGCCUCAUCGGGCCGCUCUGGCCGUCGCAACGCACUGCCUGACAUCCUGGGGUCUCCUGUUGGAGUCCCGCCUGACCUGUCUCUUAAACUGGCAGAACUAUCCCUCACAGACGGGCCAGGUGAUGCUCAGUCCCCGUCUACGGAGGAACCCCCCACUCCUACAGAGAGCCCAGAGGUGAAGGAGGGUUCCUAGGUGGCUGAGUCUAUGCCUAAACCACAGAGAUGGGGCCUCAACAGCCCCCGCCUUUCCCCUGGAGCUCAUCCUCUACCGACUGUUCCUGAUGCCUGUCAGACUGCAUUAUAGGAAGCAACAGAGGGCAGCUAAAAUGUGGAAUGAAGGACAAGGUCUUCAAAGGGUUCAUGCAAUGAAAAAAAAAAAAAAACCAGACUGUCCAAAAGACAGGAAAGGAAGCAGAAGAGGAUGUCGAAGAACAAUCCUCACUUUUUUAAACACAGACAUGCCAAAACACUGGGGGAUCUGCUUGGGAACGCUUUAAUAAAUUUUACGCAUUUGUUUGAGAAAAUGCUUUUCUUUUUAUGAGCUUUCUAUCCAAUAAUGACUAUUGUGAGUUACGUAUACAUCCAGUUGUGGUUUGAUAUUGUAUGAUAUUAUGUGAUCUUAGUAAUGUGUCUUUAAAAAUCGCCUCAGUUUUUGGAAAGGGUAACCGUGAAAGAAUAUGAGCAGAUGUUUGCGAAUAUUCAAGCGUCAUGUAGCAUUAUCUUCAGCCUUCGAAUAAUAAUAAUUAUAAUAAAAAAAAUAAAAACAUAUCUGUGAGUAAAUUAAUCAGAACUGCCAAACACGAAAUGCAGUAUGAAAAGCAUAAAUCAGGAAGGGAAUAGUAAUCAUAAAGGUAUGAGUAUACAGUACUAGGAAAAAAUAGUUUGCAGUAUUUUAAUAAAUAUUCAGAAUGCCCUCCAAACACAGAUUUUUAAUUUCAAUUUG